UUUGGAAAGUGUCAACAACGGGAGGAUCACGAUGAGUCAGGAAAGGUUCAUUAGCCCAAGAAGCAGCAGCUUUGCUCUCUUCAUCUGAUCUAGGCCACAGUUCAAAGAAUCAUAACUCAAAGUCAAGAUCAAUCCCGUAGUUCAGGGCCACAACUGAGAAGAACAUCCUCUUUCGACAGAACAUGGGAGGAUCGGAGACCCGUGGCGGAAUCUGUAGCUAAUGAGCUUGUUCUACAUUCCAUGGAGCAUCAAAGUGAAUCCUCUAAUAGUAUUAGAUUAAAGAGUAAUUUUGGGCUUAGUGUGUGGUUGAGAAAAUGAUCCGGCGUCGAUCUCUUAAGUAUUUCGUUAUUAUUUGUCAAAUCUUUUCUCACACACGUUUAUUUGUUUCUGAAACCUCUUAACGAACUACCUAACAAUAUAAUAUUAAUUUUUU